CAGUCGCCGCGGUAAUACGAAGGGGGCUAGCGUUGCUCGGAAUGACUGGGCGUAAAGGGCGCGUAGGCGGUUUGUACAGUUGGAUGUGAAAUUCCUGGGCUUAACCUGGGGGCUGCAUUCAAUACGUGCAGGCUUGAGUGGGGAAGAGGGUCGUGGAAUUCCCAGUGUAGAGGUGAAAUUCGUAGAUAUUGGGAAGAACACCGGUGGCGAAGGCGGCGACCUGGUCCUUGACUGACGCUGAGGCGCGAAAGCGUGGGGAGCAAACAGGAUUAGAUACCCGAGUAGUCCCUGUCUCUUAUAC
rnacentral:rRNA from 1 species